rnacentral:rRNA from 1 species
GAUUUUUCUUGUUUAACUGAGGGGCGGACGGGUGAGUAACGGCGUGAGGAACCUGACCUUCAUAGGGGGACAACUGGUGGAAACGACUGCUAAUACCGCAUGAUGUGUUUUUGGGACAUCCCUAACAUACCAAAGGAGCAAUCCGAUGAAGGAUGUCCUCUCGUCCGAUUAGAUAGUUGAUGAGGUAACUGCCCACCAAGUCGAUGAUUGGUAGCCGGACUGACAGGUUGAAACGCCUCAUUGGGACAGACACACGGCCCAGACUCCUACGGGAGGCAGCAGUGGGGGAUAUUCCACAAUGGGGGAAACCAUGAUGCAGCAACGCCGCAUGAAGGAAGACGUCCUUCGGGUUGUCAUCUUUUUUCAGCAGGGAAGAAGAACGUGACGGUCCUUGCAGAAAAAGCCACGGCUAAUUACGUCCCACCAGCCGCGGUAAUACGUAGGUUCCAAGCGUUUUCCGGAUUUUUUGGGUUUAAAGGGUGGGUAGGCGGGUUAUUAAUUCAGUGGUGAAAGCGUGUGGUUCACCCAUACCAAGCCAUUGAAACUGGCGAUCUUGAGUGCAAUCGAGGUAGGCGGAAUUUGACGUGUAGCGGUGAAAUGCUUAGAUAUGUCACAGAACCCCGAUUGCGAAGGCAGCUUUCCAGCAUGCAACUGACGCUGAGGCACGAAAGCGUGGGUAUCAAACAGGAUUAGAUACCCUGGUAGUCCAUGCCGUAAACGUUGGGCACUAGGUGUGGGGGACAUUCCACGUUUUCCGCGCCGUAGCUAACGCAUUAAGUGCCCCGCCUGGGGAGUACGGCCGCAAGGCUAAAACUCAAAGGAAUUGACGGGGGCCCGCACAAGCGGCGGAGCAUGCGGAUUAAUUCGAUGCAACGCGAAGAACCUUACCAAGGCUUGACAUGAACCGGAAAGGCCUGGAAACAGGUCCCCCACUUGUGGCCGGUUUACAGGUGGUGCAUGGUUGUCGUCAGCUCGUGUCGUGAGAUGUUGGGUUAAGUCCCGCAACGAGCGCAACCCUCGUUCUAUGUUGCCAGCGGGUUAUGCCGGGGACUCAUAGGAGACUGCCGGGGUCAACUCGGAGGAAGGUGGGGACGACGUCAAAUCAUCAUGCCCCUUAUGUCUUGGGCUUCACGCAUGCUACAAUGGCCGGUACAAAGGGUUGCGAUACUGUGAGGUGGAGCUAAUCCCAAAAAGCCGGUCUCAGUUCGGAUUGAGGUCUGCAACUCGACCUCAUGAAGUUGGAGUCGCUAGUAAUCGCAGAUCAGCAACGCUGCGGUGAAUACGUUCCCGGGCCUUGCACACACCGCCCGUCA